rnacentral:rRNA from 1 species
AUUGAACGCUGGCGGCAUGCCUUACACAUGCAAGUCGAACGGCAGCACGGGAGCAAUCCUGGUGGCGAGUGGCGAACGGGUGAGUAAUAUAUCGGAACGUGCCCAGUCGUGGGGGAUAACGUAGCGAAAGCUACGCUAAUACCGCAUACGAUCUAUGGAUGAAAGCGGGGGAUCGCAAGACCUCGCGCGAUUGGAGCGGCCGAUAUCAGAUUAGGUAGUUGGUGAGGUAAAGGCUCACCAAGCCGACGAUCUGUAGCUGGUCUGAGAGGACGACCAGCCACACUGGGACUGAGACACGGCCCAGACUCCUACGGGAGGUAGCAGUGGGGAAUUUUGGACAAUGGGCGCAAGCCUGAUCCAGCAAUGCCGCGUGCAGGAUGAAGGCCUUCGGGUUGUAAACUGCUUUGUACGGAACGAAACGGUGAGCUCUAAUACAGUUUGCUAAUGACGGUACCGUAAGAAUAAGCACCGGCUAACUACGUG